rnacentral:rRNA from 1 species
AGCGGCGGACGGGUGAGUAAUGCCUAGGAAUCUGCCUGGUAGUGGGGGAUAACGUCCGGAAACGGGCGCUAAUACCGCAUACGUCCUGAGGGAGAAAGUGGGGGAUCUUCGGACCUCACGCUAUCAGAUGAGCCUAGGUCGGAUUAGCUAGUUGGUGGGGUAAAGGCCUACCAAGGCGACGAUCCGUAACUGGUCUGAGAGGAUGAUCAGUCACACUGGAACUGAGACACGGUCCAGACUCCUACGGGAGGCAGCAGUGGGGAAUAUUGGACAAUGGGCGAAAGCCUGAUCCAGCCAUGCCGCGUGUGUGAAGAAGGUCUUCGGAUUGUAAAGCACUUUAAGUUGGGAGGAAGGGCAGUAAGUUAAUACCUUGCUGUUUUGACGUUACCAACAGAAUAAGCACCGGCUAACUUCGUGCCAGCAGCCGCGGUAAUACGAAGGGUGCAAGCGUUAAUCGGAAUUACUGGGCGUAAAGCGCGCGUAGGUGGUUCAGCAAGUUGGAUGUGAAAUCCCCGGGCUCAACCUGGGAACUGCAUCCAAAACUACUGAGCUAGAGUACGGUAGAGGGUGGUGGAAUUUCCUGUGUAGCGGUGAAAUGCGUAGAUAUAGGAAGGAACACCAGUGGCGAAGGCGACCACCUGGACUGAUACUGACACUGAGGUGCGAAAGCGUGGGGAGCAAGCAGGAUUAGAUACCCUGGUAGUCCACGCCGUAAACGAUGUCGACUAGCCGUUGGGAUCCUUGAGAUCUUAGUGGCGCAGCUAACGCGAUAAGUCGACCGCCUGGGGAGUACGGCCGCAAGGUUAAAACUCAAAUGAAUUGACGGGGGCCCGCACAAGCGGUGGAGCAUGUGGUUUAAUUCGAAGCAACGCGAAGAACCUUACCUGGCCUUGACAUGCUGAGAACUUUCCAGAGAUGGAUUGGUGCCUUCGGGAACUCAGACACAGGUGCUGCAUGGCUGUCGUCAGCUCGUGUCGUGAGAUGUUGGGUUAAGUCCCGUAACGAGCGCAACCCUUGUCCUUAGUUACCAGCACCUCGGGUGGGCACUCUAAGGAGACUGCCGGUGACAAACCGGAGGAAGGUGGGGAUGACGUCAAGUCAUCAUGGCCCUUACGGCCAGGGCUACACACGUGCUACAAUGGUCGGUACAAAGGGUUGCCAAGCCGCGAGGUGGAGCUAAUCCCACAAAACCGAUCGUAGUCCGGAUCGCAGUCUGCAACUCGACUGCGUGAAGUCGGAAUCGCUAGUAAUCGUGAAUCAGAAUGUCACGGUGAAUACGUUCCCGGGCCUUGUACACACCGCCCGUCACACCAUGGGAGUGGGUUGCUCCAGAAGUAGCUAGUCUAACCGCAAGGGGGACGGUUACCACGGAGUGAUUCAUGACUGGGGUGAAGUCGUAACAAGGU